rnacentral:rRNA from 1 species
GGGCGUUAAGUUGCAGGGUAUAGACCCGAAACCCGGUGAUCUAGCCAUGGGCAGGUUGAAGGUUGGGUAACACUAACUGGAGGACCGAACCGACUAAUGUUGAAAAAUUAGCGGAUGACCUGUGGCUGGGGGUGAAAGGCCAAUCAAACCGGGAGAUAGCUGGUUCUCCCCGAAAGCUAUUUAGGUAGCGCCUCGUGAAUUCAUCUCCGGGGGUAGAGCACUGUUUCGGCUAGGGGGCCAUCCCGGCUUACCAACCCGAUGCAAACUGCGAAUACCGGAGAAUGUUAUCACGGGAGACACACGGCGGGUGCUAACGUCCGUCGUGAAGAGGGAAACAACCCAGACCGCCAGCUAAGGUCCCAAAGUCAUGGUUAAGUGGGAAACGAUGUGGGAAGGCCCAGACAGCCAGGAUGUUGGCUUAGAAGCAGCCAUCAUUUAAAGAAAGCGUAAUAGCUCACUGGUCGAGUCGGCCUGCGCGGAAGAUGUAACGGGGCUAAACCAUGCACCGAAGCUGCGGCAGCGACGCUUAUGCGUUGUUGGGUAGGGGAGCGUUCUGUAAGCCUGUGAAGGUGGCCUGUGAGGGUUGCUGGAGGUAUCAGAAGUGCGAAUGCUGACAUAAGUAACGAUAAAGCGGGUGAAAAGCCCGCUCGCCGGAAGACCAAGGGUUCCUGUCCAACGUUAAUCGGGGCAGGGUGAGUCGACCCCUAAGGCGAGGCCGAAAGGCGUAGUCGAUGGGAA